AUGUCUGUUCUAGGAGUAUGCAAGUUCGGUGAGCAGGUACGCAGUACAGUGGAACAGGCGGAUUGCUUUACUGUAGCAACAAAUACUGUAAUGCACAGUUCUCGUAAUUUCAACAGGAAUUUAUUUCCAACAGUGAAUUCCAUUCACCUCAACUGCAGGCCUCUGUGGCUCUCUCCAAUGGCAACCGGAGGGCACCUUCACCUGAGUACUGAUGCUGUGCUGGACUACAUUACCCAUAUGCCUCAUUCCUCAGACUAAUCACCACCAGGUGUUCGUAAUUCCACUCCCUAUAUAAACUGGUUCCAGACUCUCAUUCAACGCAAGUUUAGUCUGUCUUGCAUUUCUGAGCAUUUAUUCUGGACUGGUUACCUGUGUAUUAUCUUGGACUGCUCCUGUUCUAUUGAUUCUCUGCCGCCUGCCUACUGACCCUCUGCUUUGUCUCUGACCUGUCUACUGCCUGCCGCCUGCCCUGAUUCAGGUCUGGUAACCGACCUUGAUUCUGUUUAUCUGUGAUAUCCUUGACGCUGUUGUUAGACCUCUGCCUGGUAAUUCUACGUUUCUAAAUAAACAUUGCAAAUGGAUCCAAAUGCCCCUGACUCCUCAUUACAAUAACCACCACAGAUGGUUAUCAUUUACUCUAUUACAUUAUUAGAAAAUCAGUGUGUAUAUAUACAAACCCGAUUCCAAAAAAGUUGGGACACUGUACAAAUUGUGAGUAAAAAAGGAAUGGAAUAAUUUACAAAUCUUAUAAACUUAUAUUUUAUUCACAAUAGAAUAUAGAUAACAAAUCAAAUGUUGAAAGUGAGAAAUUUUGAAAUGUCAUGCCAAAAAUUCAGAGAUGCACAUUCCAAAAAAGUUGGGACAGGUAGCAAUAAGAGGCUGGAAAAGUUAAAUGUACAAAUAAGGAACAGCUGGAGGACCAAUUUGCAACUUAUUAGGUCAACUGGCAACAUAAUUGGGUAUAAAAAGAGCAGAAAGGAGUUUCUCAGAGAAAAACUGCAAAGAGUUUGAAGUUAUCAUCUGCAGUGCAUAAUAUCAUCCAAAGAUUCAGGGAAUCUGGAACAAUCUCUGUGCGUAAGGGUCAAGGCCGGAAAACCAUACUGGAUGCCCAUGAUCUUCGGGCCCUUAGACGGCACUGCAUCACAUACAGGAAGGCUACUGUAAUGAAAAUCACAACAUGGGCUCAGGAAUUCUUGCAGAAAACAUUGUCGGUGAACACAAUCCACCGUUGCCGGCUAAAACUCUAUAGGUCAAAAAAGUAGCCAUAUCUAAACAUGAUCCAGAAGCGCAGGUGUUUUCUCUGGGCCAAGGCUCAUUUAAAAUGGACUGUGGCAAAGUGAAAAACUGUUCUUUGGUCAGACGAAUCAAAAUCUGACGUUCUUUUUGGAAAACUGGGAUGCCAUGUCAUCCGGACAUGAUGUAGGAUCUAGUAUCUAGAAGCCUCAGAAGGACUGGUUUAGGAUGGACAUACUGUAUACUCACUCAGAUGCAGUCAUCCAUUUGAGAAGCAGCCCUCGUCUUUAUGAGUGAAUCAUUGAAUUGUUCACUCAACCAUUUUGUUCAUAAGCACUAAUUAAUUCAGGAACAAAACAAGUACUUUAUGAGUAGUGUUGGGCUUGUUACUUGUUACAAAAUUUAAUGUAUUACUUGUUACUAGUUACUCAUUUUAAAAGUAAUAUUAUUACUUUACAUACAGUAUUACUUCCUGGCAACAGUUAUUAGUUACACUACUCAUUACAUUACUUUUCCUUCAUGCCCCACAGAAGUUGUAAUUGUGUAUCUUCCCCAUAAAAUUCUUCUAAAAUGUGAUGUAAUACCAGAAUAAAGUAAUGCCACAACUUACACAUCUGCGUUCAGAUCACCUUUUCUCCUGACAAAAUCAGUGUAAUGGCAAUAUUUCUAUCCCCUGAAUAUAAGCUUUUCCAUAUGCCAAGCUUUCCUGAUGCACCGGUGAUUUCAUGUGCCUGUGUCGUGAAAAUUAUGAAAAUAAAUCUAGGAAUUAACAAGGCAUCAAAAGUAACUAGCUGUUUAAUGGAUGGUAACUGUAAUAUUGUUACUUAAUCUUAAAAGUAAUUAGUUUCACUACUAGUUAUUGCAAAAAAAGAAAAAAAAAAUAUUAUUACUGCAACUAGUUACUGCCCAGCACUGUUUAUGAGUAAGGCAGUCACUCCUACAAUUCAUUCAAAAACAUAGAUUUAUUUAGGAAAGCCAUAAAUUUAUUCUCAAAGACAACUGUUGCUUUUGCUAUGAUUUAGUUUGGAAGUAUUUGUGUUGAUGGUGGAAAACAAAACAAUUAAUGUAAUUCACUCAGCUUCCUCUCUACUGAACUGGUAUAUAAAAGCAGUAUCACACUCCUCUAGCUGAGGCUGCAGGUAAUCUGAAACUGAUUUUGGCACAACAUUCUCAUGUGAUAUUUCCUAAAUGUUAAAUGUUUCAAAUGCAGCACAUUUAUUUAGCAAAGUUUACCUAUCUACAGUAAAUGCUUAAUGGUUGGUGAAAUGGAUCACUGCCUUCAGGGUGAUGUGUUUAAUUCUCAGCAUUGAUUCUUCUGUCCAUAGUCAUUUUACCCUAGAGAACCGCAGUUAAUCUCUUGAUCUGAGGUUUUGCAAGUCCAGCUGAACAUCUUGUUUCCAUUUUUAAUUUAUUAGUUGUGGAAAAAAAUUCUGUGUAGUUUUGUACUGCAAUUCUAUUUUGCCACUGAGCUGAAUUAAUACACUAUUGUGAUAAUUAUUAUUAUUUUGACAGGUUGAGGUGCCUGAAACAUAAUUUACUAUGGCUAAAUUUCAAAUCUAAAUCUGGUCUUUAUAAUUACAUCUGCAAGUUGGACAGGCUGUCUGCUUUUGAAUGGCAAACAUUUCAAGGAGCUAUAGAUUUGUGAAAGCAUAU
ensembl:lncRNA